rnacentral:rRNA from 1 species
ACCCGCGCCCCAAGUGGUGGUCGAUAUUAUUGAGCCUAAAACAUCCGUAGCCGGUCUUCUAAAUCCUUGGGUAAAUCGGGCAGCUUAACUGUCCGAAGUCCGGGGAGACUGGGAGACUUGGGACCGGGAGAGGUCAGAGGUACUUCUGGGGGAGGGGUAAAAUCCUGUAAUCCGGGGAGGACGACCGGUGGCGAAGGCGUCUGACUGGAACGGAUCCGACGGUGAGUGACGAAUCCCUGGGGCGCAAACGG